AGUGAACGCUGGCGGUGUGCCUAAUACAUGCAAGUCGAACGAGUGGCGCACGGGUGAGUAAUAUAUAGUUAAUCUGUCCUACACAGAGGAACAACAGUUGGAAACGGCUGCUAAUACCUCAUAGUAGGAUGCGACUAUAUCGUAUCAGCUAGUUGGUAAGGUAAUGGCUUACCCAGGCUAUGAUGCGUAACUGGUCUGGGUGUUUGAUCAGUCACAUUGGAACUGAGACACGGUCCAAACUCCGACGGGAGGCAGCAGUAGGGGAUCUUCGGCAAUGGGGGGAACCCUGACCGAGCAACGCCGCGGGACUGAAGAAGGUUUUCGGAUCGUAGAGCUCUGUUGUUAAGGAAGCGGUACUUAACCAGAAAGGGACGGCUAACUACGUGCCAGCAGCCGCGGUAAUAC
rnacentral:rRNA from 1 species